rnacentral:rRNA from 1 species
GCCUGCCGGUGCUUAAUGAGUAAACGGCGGCCUUAGCGUGAGGGUCUUAAGGUAGCAUGAUAAGUCGGCCUUUAAUUGGGGUCUGGUAUGAAUGGGUUGACGUUGGAUAAUCUGUCUCAUUGAGUAUUAUUGAAAUUAAUUUUAAAGUGAAGAAGCUUUAAUUAAAAAAAAAGACGACAAGACCCUACGAAGCUUUAUCUUUUUAAAUAUUACUAAAAACCUAAAGGUUUUGAUGUUAAUAUUUUCUACGAUUUUGUUGGGAGAACAGGGCGGAAAUGUGCUGCCUAGCUUAAAUUUACCUACAAGUUGCAGCUUAAUUUAGUAAAUUUGGUAAGCUACUCUAGGGAUAACAGCGCGAUCUUUUUUUAGAGUUCUAAUCGAAAAACAGGUUUGCGACCUCGAUGUUGGCUUUAGGUUACCUGAAGGCGUAGACGCUUUCAAGCGUGGGUCUGUUCGACCUUUAAUACCUAACGUGAUCUA